rnacentral:rRNA from 1 species
UUGAGGGUUUGAUCCUGGCCCAGGAUGAACGCUGGCGGCGUGCCUUAGGCAUGCAAGUGGAACGAUCCUUAGAGUAAUCGAAGGAAAGUCGCGAACGGCUGAGUAUAUAGUAGGAAUCUACCCUUUGGCGGGGAAUACCCCCGAGAAAUCGGGGCUAAUACCGCAUGACCUCGUGAGAGAAAAGGGCGUAACUGCCCGCCGAAGGAGGAGCCUACUUCCCAUCAGCUUGUUGGUAGGGUAACGGCCUACCAAGGCUACGACGGGUAGGGGGCGUGAGAGCGUGACCCCCCAGAAUGGCACUGAGAUACGGGCCAUACACCUACGGGUGGCAGCAACCGGGAAUCGUGCGCAAUGGACGAAAGUCUGACGCCGCGACGCCGCGUGAGGGAUUGAAGGCGCUUGUCGUCGUAAACCUCUUUUGACCUGAGAGAGAUCGAAGGUAGAAUAAGCACUCGCUAACUACGUGCCAGCAGCUGCGGUAAUACGUAGAGUGCAAGCGUUAUCCGGAUUUAUUGGGCGUAAAGCGUUUCGUAGGCUGUUAACUAAGUUUCACUUCAAAGACCGGAGCUCAACUUCGGGAAGGGGUGAAAUACUAUUUGACUUGAAAUACUCCGGGGUUACUGGAACUGUCGGUGUAGGGGUGAAAUCCGUUGAUAUCGACAGGAACUCCAAGGGCGAAGGCAGGUAACUAGGAGAUAUUUGACGCUGAGGAACGACAGCUAGGGGAGCGAAAGGGAUUAGAGACCCCUGUAGUCCUAGCCGUAAACGAUGCUCGCUAGCUCGCCGAGUUUGACUUGGUGGGCGUAAGCUAACGCGUGAAGCGAGCCGCCUGGGGAGUACGAACGCAAGUUUAAAACUCAAAGGAAUUGACGGGGACCUGCACAACCAGUGGAGCAUGUGGUUUAAUUCGAAACAAACCGAAGAACCUUACCCGGGUUUGACAUCCAGCACUUAAUGCCUAUGUAGAAAUACUGUAGGAAUCGUAAUUUAUUAUGAAGUGCCGGACAGGUGUUGCAUGGCUGUCGUCAGCUCGUGCCGUGGGGUGUUCCCUUCAGUGGGGUAACGAGCGCAACCCCCGUCUCGUGUUGAAUAUUCACGAGAGACUUUCGACCUUUUGGUUGAAGGAAGUGGGGACGACGUCAAGUCAGCAUGGCCCUUAUAUCCGGGGCGACACACAUGCUACAAUGGAGCCGACAAUGGGUUGCCAAGCCGUAAGGCGGAGCUAAUCCCAUCAAACGGCUUCUCAGUGGGGAUUGAGGGCUGCAACUCGCCCUCAUGAACUCGGAAUUGGUAGUAAUCGCGGAUCAGCUAUGCCGCGGUGAAUACGUUCUCAGGUCUUGUACACACCGCCCGUCAAGUCAGUGAAGUUAGGGGCACCCGAAUCCCG